rnacentral:tRNA from 1 species
GCAUCCGUUGCAUCGGUGGUUCAGUGGUAGAAUGCUCAUCUGCCACGCGGGCGGCCCGGGUUCGAUUCCCGGCCGAUGCA